rnacentral:rRNA from 1 species
GACGAACGCUGGCGGCGUGCUUAACACUUGCAAGUCGAACGGAAAGGCCCUGCUUUUGUGGGGUGCUCGAGUGGCGAACAGGUGAGUAACACGUGAGUAACCUGCCCUUGACUUUGGGAUAACUUCAGGAAACUGGGGCUAAUACCGGAUAGGAGCUCCUGCUGCAUGGUGGGGGUUGGAAAGUUUCGGCGGUUGGGGAUGGUCUCGCGGCUUAUCAGCUUGUUGGUGGGGUAGUGGCUUACCAAGGCUUUGACGGGUAGCCGGCCUGAGAGGGUGACCGGCCACAUUGGGACUGAGAUACGGCCCAGACUCCUACGGGAGGCAGCAGUGGGGAAUAUUGCACAAUGGGCGGAAGCCUGAUGCAGCAACGCCGCGUGCGGGAUGACGGCCUUCGGGUUGUAAACCGCUUUCGCCUGUGACGAAGCGUGAGUGACGGUAAUGGGUAAAGAAGCACCGGCUAACUACGUG